CCUACGGGGUGCACCAGUGGGGAAUAUUGCACAAUGGGCGCAAGCCUGAUGCAGCCAUGCCGCGUGUAUGAAGAAGGCCUUCGGGUUGUAAAGUACUUUCAGCGAGGAGGAAGGCGUUAAGGUUAAUAACCUUAGCGAUUGACGUUACUCGCAGAAGAAGCACCGGCUAACUCCGUGCCAGCAGCCGCGGUAAUACGGAGGGUGCAAGCGUUAAUCGGAAUUACUGGGCGUAAAGCGCACGCAGGUGGUCUGUUAAGUCAUAUGUGAAAUCCCCGGGCUCAACCUGGGAACUGCAUUUGAAACUGGCAAGCUUGAGUCUCGUAGAGGGGGGUAGAAUUCCAGGUGUAGCGGUGAAAUGCGUAGAGAUCUGGAGGAAUACCGGUGGCGAAGGCGGCCCCCUGGACGAAGACUGACGCUCAGGUGCGAAAGCGUGGGGAGCAAACAGGAUUAGAUACCCGGGUAGUC
rnacentral:rRNA from 1 species